rnacentral:lncRNA from 1 species
UUUCCUACCUUUAUUUAUUGCAAAUUUUGAGAAGCAAAUUCAUAUCUUGAAUAGGUGGAUCAGGUCACUCCUAGAGGCCUCUGAUAGCGUUCCAUCACUGUUAGCAUAAAACUCAAUUUCCUUACCAUAGUCAGCCAGGCCCUUUAUGACAGCACUCCUGUCAGCAUGGUCACUGUCCCCCAAGGACCCCACACUCCAAUCUCAAAUGCUCUAAGUCCUUUCCCACAGCAAGAUGUUUGCACAUGCUGUUCCCUUUUCCCAACUAGCGUUUUCUUCCUCUGCCUUUGCUGCCUGGAUCUUUCGCAUCUGUCACCUCUUUAGGAAAACCAAAAAUAAGUAUGUGAGGUAAGAGAGAGAAAAACAGCCCUGAGUCCUAUGGAUGAAAGCAGUGAUUCACGAAUUUACAUGGGCAUGAAGAAUCAUCUAGGUCCUUCCUCCUUAAAUACAAAAGCAAGAAAACCCUGCAGACUGCAAAUUCCCAGACCCCUUCCCUGGAGAUACUGAUGUAGAUCCAGGAAUUUGUCUUUUUUUCUUUUUUAAAUUAGGACCCAGGUGAUUCUGAGAAAGGCCUGCAGAUCAUGCUCUGAGAAACCCUAGAAUGAAGAUGAGCUGUUUAAGCUAUUCUCAGUCACGUGUUGAGCUGUCAUCUGGAGCGAUUUCUGUUUAAGCUCAGAAAGAAACCCAUGAGGAAUAAAAAAAGUCCUUCUGUGAGUGAACUGAAUAAUCUGCAAUGAGAAGUUUCUGGAUGCCUUGGGAAGAGAUAAAGG